rnacentral:antisense_RNA from 1 species
CACGGAACUGGGCAGUGGACACCACCCUCCCUCGCAGGCUUCCAAAGUAAUUUGAAGGCCUUCCCUGACUUAAAGUGGAUGCUGCUUUGGAAAGCACUGGAAAAAUGGAUCCUGUCUUUCUUAGCCAAGGACUGGUCUCUUUUCUCCAAUGUGUCCCUAACAGAGUGGUGAGGCUGGCUCUUCCCACCAGUACAGGUAAUGUGGUAAAGAUAGGACCACGUGGACGAAGAGGUAUUACCUUCUCUAAUUACAGCUAACAAAGACCUAGGCCUAACCUCAACUGCACCUUCUGUCUCUGGGAAGUCACUUAUAGAGUAGACCUAUAAUUAGGAUUUGGUACCUGAAACAUAAUUCUCAGGAUGGUGAAUCUCUAAAUUAUGUCCCCAGAGACAUACCUGAGACAAAACCCUAAGGGCUGUUGGCUGUAAGAGGGUGUGUGUGGUAUUCUACAUUCAGUAGGGAUUUAUAAAUGAGGAUGAUAUCACUCA